rnacentral:piRNA from 1 species
UCCGCAGGUCAGAUCUCAGCACCCAAAGU